CGGUGGAUGGCUCGGCUCGGGCGCCGACGAAGGGCGCGGCAAGCGGCGAAA
rnacentral:rRNA from 1 species